GAUGAACGCUGGCGGCGUGCCUAAUACAUGCAAGUCGAGCGAACAGACGAGGAGCUUGCUCCUCUGACGUUAGCGGCGGACGGGUGAGUAACACGUGGAUAACCUACCUAUAAGACUGGGAUAACUUCGGGAAACCGGAGCUAAUACCGGAUAAUAUAUUGAACCGCAUGGUUCAAUAGUGAAAGACGGUUUUGCUGUCACUUAUAGAUGGAUCCGCGCCGCAUUAGCUAGUUGGUAAGGUAACGGCUUACCAAGGCAACGAUGCGUAGCCGACCUGAGAGGGUGAUAGGCCACACUGGAAGGGAGACACGGUCCAGACUCCUACGGGAGGCAGCAGUAGGGAAUCUUCCGCAAUGGGCGAAAGCCUGACGGAGCAACGCCGCGUGAGUGAUGAAGGUCUUCGGAUCGUAAAACUCUGUUAUUAGGGAAGAACAAAUGUGUAAGUAACUAUGCACGUCUUGACGGUACCUAAUCAGAAAGCCACGGCUAACUACGUG
rnacentral:rRNA from 1 species